CCAAUCUGUGAAAUUCAGGUGAGAAAUGAGCCUGCGGAAAACUUUUUGAGUAUAAUAAAAGAGUGUGCAAAACUUUGCGAGGAGUUUAUAUUUAAACCGCCAGAAAGUGCAGAAUCUGAUGAAGAAGCUGAUGAUGAAGAGCCAGGAAAUCAGUCCGACUCUGAGGAGUUUGAGAUAGAAAGAUUUCUUUCUAUUUGUUAUGGCGAUCCCAAUCAAGUUAUUGUGCAAGUUUCUUUGCUUCAUUGGGAUCGCCAUAGCAAACAAAAAGAAACCUUUCCAUCUCAAACUCCUCGAAGUCGGACUGAUAUUCUGGCUCUUAAUCAUCAGCUUCUUCAUUAGAUUCUGCACUUUCUGGCGGUUUAAAUAUAAACUCCUCGCAAAGUUUUGCCCACUCUUUUAUUAUACUUAAAAAGUUUUCCGCAGGCUUAUUUCUCACCUGAAUUCAAUACAUGCAUAUUAACAACAAAGUUAAAAUGACAAGCAUCAACUAUAAGAUAGCAACAAAAACAUAUCUGUUUUUCGUUUGAUUUAGCUUCAAACUUUCACAAGCAUAUUCAUUUUCAUCUUAACAUCAGAAAUGAAAACCCUUUUCUUAUCGACUAAAUCACCAUGAUCCUUAAUAACCUACGCACAUUCAAAUCACCAAAAUCAACAAUAACCCUAAACAGUAAACACUAUUAAUUUCUACUUCUGUUGUUCACAAAACUAACAGAUUCAUGAAUAAUUAGCCUGAAAAAUGGAAAAAUUCCAAAAUUCCUACCUAUUCCAUCAUUCCCUUUUGUCCUUUUCAUAGGAAAUGUAAAGCAAAAGUACCGGUCUCUGUCCGUCUUGUGUGGAGACCUGGUUAUUAUUUAUAAUAUAUUUGCUGUUAAAAUUUUUUUUCCAGGAUAAUCCGAUAAUGGCAUUUACUACAAUAAAAAUAGAAGGUAUAAUUGUUGUUUUAUGGCUUAAUAUGGUGAGUUCCACUACCAGGGAGUUGUGUUUUCACUUCUUUAGCUUGCUAGUUGAGUUCAAUACUAGUCAUGCUUUGGAUGCAAGCAGGAAGGUAGAUUGGGUGGCUUCUUAAUUAAGCAUAUAUGUGUAUUUUUUUUUAUGUGUGUAUUUCUUUUUGGUAAACCAAAAGUAUCAUCCGCUCGCUGCGUGUCAUGUUUUAUGAAUGCGGAGAAACAAAAAAAUAAUUAUAUGUGGAGAACUAUAUGGCUGCAAAGAAUGUGGAUGAUGGGUGUGGAGGACUUAUUCGUGGAAGUUGUGGUGAGUUUGUAGUGCUCGUGUUGCGUAGCUUUGGGGUGGUAGAUGGUUUGAGUUGUGCUAGAAGGCUUGGAUUCCGCUUUGCCAAUUCGCAGCUAGUUAUUACGGUAAGAUGUUAACCAAAGAAAAUAAAGUUAGCUCCUCUUGUUGGAGCUUGGUUCAUUGGUUUCAUCAUCUCCAUUAAUUGAAUUGAAAAAUUAGAAUUAAAUAAUCUUACCGUGAAGUUAAUAAAUGUAUUGAUGCGUUGACUAAUUUAGCUUGUAAUUUAGGUGGCCUCUUGAUUUUUUGAGUCUUGUAUGAUUCAAGUUAAUCUUUUGUGAUA